rnacentral:rRNA from 1 species
GUAGGGGGCUAGCGUUGUCCGGAAUCAUUGGGCGUAAAGAGCGUGUAGGCGGCCCGGUAAGUCCGCUGUGAAAGUCGGGGGCUCAACCCUCGAAUGCCGGUGGAUACUGUCGGGCUAGAGUGCGGAAGAGGCGAGUGGAAUUCCUGGUGUAGCGGUGAAAUGCGCAGAUAUCAGGAGGAACACCGAUUGCGAAGGCAGCUCGCUGGGACGUCACUGACGCUGAGACGCGAAAGCGUGGGGAGCAAACAGGAUUAGAUACCCUGGUAGUCCACGCUGUAAACGAUGGGCACUAGGUGUGGGGGGUAUCGACUCCCUCCGUGCCGAAGCUAACGCAUUAAGUGCCCCGCCUGGGGAGUACGGCCGCAAGGCUA